rnacentral:lncRNA from 1 species
CUUGCUCCAAUCCUAGAAAGGUUAGUGACAAAAAUACCCGAAGGAAUAUUUCUACAAUUAUCUUUAUAUGCUCAAUACACAAGGCAAUGUUGCAAAUAAUUAGAAGUUCAUGUUACGAUCUCAUAAGUGCUUGUUUUAGGACACUAAGCUUGUCCUUGGGAAACCAUCAAUCAACUCAAUGAGAUCUGCAAUAUUUAUUAUAGACAUAUGCAUUGACAACCGCUCUUUUAAAGUUUUUAUAAAUAGAAAGGAAGAGGGGGUUGGAGAUCUUAAAUGUGGUGAUGUUGGAGAGACCAAUAGAUUAGGAAGAUGUUGCAUAUGAGCCUGGAGUAAACGAGGUGGCUAUGUUAUCUUUGUCUCUAAUCUGAAUGUUCGGAGUUUCUCCUAGAUUUGUCUCGCCUAUGUCCUCUUCUGUAGUUGGAUGAAUCUCAUCUUCAAAGAGAGUUAAGAACUCACCAUUUGAAAUUGAGCCAAAGUCAGAAUCCAUUAAGGCUUCUUCCUUGUCCAUCCAUUCAAUGGUGACUCUUAUGCAUGAGAUGUCUAGAGAGAUUCAUAGGAUCAUCAGGAGGUUCAAGAGAAAGAGCAUAGUAGAAAUUAUUAAGCUCAAGGAUGGGUUUGGAAAUCAGCUAUUGAAACUUCCUUUCCUUGUCUGGGAGAUGAUUCCUUCUCUAAUUCUAGACUAGUGCAAGAAGGAUGUCCGCGAAUGAAGACAUACCUUCCUUUACUAACAGAUAAAGAAAGAAAGACUCUACCAAAGGUUAUAUGAUUAAGACCAAUGUGAGAAUAUCGAGAAAAAACAUGGUCUUGUAGGGCUAAGUUUAAACCAGAAUUUAUAGAAAGAUUAAAAGAUUCCCUAGGUGUAGCUAAAAGUUCAUUAUCUUCUUGAUUAAAAGAUAGGACCUCGGCUAUAGAAAAGGGUUGGUUUUGACCUAUUGCAAUCAACUCCAGACACAGAUCAUAAUUAGGGGUAGGACUUGUUGACUCUUAUGGUCUAUGGCUGGUCUCCGAAGGUGCAAAAAAUUCAAUAAUAGGUAUGGAAUUUGAGUUAUCCAUAAAGAUGAAAAAAAUAAAAAGAUAAAAGAAUAAAAGAAUGAAAGUAUAAUACAAGAUAAUAGCAAGACUUAAAGUUAUCUCAGCAAACCGUCUUUCUCCCCGGCAACGGCGCCAGAAAUGCUUGUUGAUAUUUGGUAACGCCAUCAGGAAAUGAUCCGCAAGCGCACGGAUAUCAGUGAGCACUUCACCCGGGAGGUUAUCCAGAGUAUCGUAUUUAUAUUUUUACCACUGGGAGAAAACGUGCAUCUGAUUAACCAAAUCUAUUGCUACUACCCUUUAGGCUACAAAGAAUGUUUCUCGAUGUGAGCGAUGUAUAGAGAAGACUACAACCAUAGUCUCGUUCUAACCUUGGUAAGGAUGAUCUAUUGUUCUAUGGGGGAAGCUUACGGAAUCUAGACACCACAGAGGAUGUUCGACGCGCACCUAUAAACCUACCCUUCCUGCUAACGAGAUGUGGGAUGCAAAGGUAACUCGGAAAUGUCACGUUCCUUUCUACUACCACGGUCCAGCUAGUCAGGGGAUAUCUAUGAGUACCCUAGCCCAAACACCACGUUUACGCUAGCAAUGAUUACUCUAAACUCAAUCGGAAGAGAUUAAAGUAAACUCAUAAACCAAAGAAUAAUAAAACAAGAACUUACUAGAAUUAGAAGUCGAAUUACUGAAGAAUCCUAGGAGCAAGCCUCGGGU